AGCAGCCGCGGUAAUUCCAGCUCCAAUAGCGUAUAUUAAAGUUGUUGCAGUUAAAAAGCUCGUAGUUGAAUUUCGGGAUCAAUAUAUCGGUCGUGCCUCGGUACGUACUGGUAUCAUUGGUUUCUCCUUUCUGACGAACCAUGAUGUCAUUAAUUUGGUGUUAUGGGAAGUUAGGACUGUUACUUUGAAAAAUUAGAGUGUUUAAAGCAGGCUUUGGCUUGAAUACACUAGCAUGGAAUAAUGAAAUAGGACGUUCGAACCUAUUUUGUUGGUUUCUAGGAUCAACGUAAUGAUUAAUAGGGAUAGUUGGGGGCAUUAGUAUUCAAUUGUCAGAGGUGAAAUUCUUGGAUUUUAUUGAAGACUAACUACUGCGAAAGCAUUUGCCAAGGAUGUUUUCAUUAAUCAAGAACGAAAGUUAGGGGAUCGAAGACGAUCAGAUACCGUCGUAGUACUUAACCAUAAACUAUGCCGACUAGGGAUCGGAUGAUGUUAAUUUUUAAUGUACUCAUUCGGCGCCUUA
rnacentral:rRNA from 1 species